GGGGGGGCGGGCGCUAUACAUGCAGUCGUACGCUUCUUUUUCCACCGGAGCUUGCUCCACCGGAAAAAGAAGAGUGGCGAACGGGUGAGUAACACGUGGGUAACCUGCCCAUCAGAAGGGGAUAACACUUGGAAACAGGUGCUAAUACCGUAUAACAAUCGAAACCGCAUGGUUUUGAUUUGAAAGGCGCUUUCGGGUGUCGCUGAUGGAUGGACCCGCGGUGCAUUAGCUAGUUGGUGAGGUAACGGCUCACCAAGGCCACGAUGCAUAGCCGACCUGAGAGGGUGAUCGGCCACAUUGGGACUGAGACACGGCCCAAACUCCUACGGGAGGCAGCAGUAGGGAAUCUUCGGCAAUGGACGAAAGUCUGACCGAGCAACGCCGCGUGAGUGAAGAAGGUUUUCGGAUCGUAAAACUCUGUUGUUAGAGAAGAACAAGGAUGAGAGUAACUGUUCAUCCCUUGACGGUAUCUAACCAGAAAGCCACGGCUAACUACGUGCCAGCAGCCGCGGUAAUACGUAGGUGGCAAGCGUUGUCCGGAUUUAUUGGGCGUAAAGCGAGCGCAGGCGGUUUCUUAAGUCUGAUGUGAAAGCCCCCGGCUCAACCGGGGAGGGUCAUUGGAAACUGGGAGACUUGAGUGCAGAAGAGGAGAGUGGAAUUCCAUGUGUAGCGGUGAAAUGCGUAGAUAUAUGGAGGAACACCAGUGGCGAAGGCGGCUCUCUGGUCUGUAACUGACGCUGAGGCUCGAAAGCGUGGGGAGCAAACAGGAUUAGAUACCCUGGUAGUCCACGCCGUAAACGAUGAGUGCUAAGUGUUGGAGGGUUUCCGCCCUUCAGUGCUGCAGCUAACGCAUUAAGCACUCCGCCUGGGGAGUACGACCGCAAGGUUGAAACUCAAAGGAAUUGACGGGGGCCCGCACAAGCGGUGGAGCAUGUGGUUUAAUUCGAAGCAACGCGAAGAACCCUUACCAGGUCUUGACAUCCUUUGAUCACUCUAGAGAAUAGAAGCUUUC
rnacentral:rRNA from 1 species